UUUCCGUAGGUGAACCUGCGGAAGGAUCAUUAAAAAUGAAGCCGGGAAACCGGUCCUUCUAACCCUUGAUUAUCUUAAUUUGUUGCUUUGGUGGGCCGCGCAAGCACCGGCUUCGGCUGGAUCGUGCCCGCCAGAGGACACAACUCUGUAUCAAAUGUCGUCUGAGUACUAUAAAAUAGUUAAAACUUCCAACAACGGAUCUCUUGGUUCUG
rnacentral:misc_RNA from 1 species